rnacentral:tRNA from 1 species
CAUUGAUAGCUUAAAAUCUAGAGCAUAGCACUGAAGAUGCUGGGGUGGCAAUUUUGUCUCAAGGCA